AUUGAACGCUGGCGGCAUGCCUUACACAUGCAAGUCGAACGGCAGCACGGGAGCAAUCCUGGUGGCGAGUGGCGAACGGGUGAGUAAUAUAUCGGAACGUGCCCAGUAGUGGGGGAUAACUGCUCGAAAGAGCCGCUAAUACCGCAUACGACCUGAGGGUGAAAGGGGGGGAUCGCAAGACCUCUCGCUAUUGGAGCGGCCGAUAUCAGAUUAGCUAGUUGGUGGGGUAAAGGCCUACCAAGGCAACGAUCUGUAGUUGGUCUGAGAGGACGACCAGCCACACUGGGACUGAGACACGGCCCAGACUCCUACGGGAGGCAGCAGUGGGGAAUUUUGGACAAUGGGCGCAAGCCUGAUCCAGCAAUGCCGCGUGCAGGAAGAAGGCCUUCGGGUUGUAAACUGCUUUUGUCAGGGAAGAAAUCCUCUAGGUUAAUACCCUUGGGGGGAUGACGGUACCUGAAGAAUAAGCACCGGCUAACUACGUGCCAGCCGCCGCUGUAACAC
rnacentral:rRNA from 1 species